AGUGAACGCUGGCGGUAGGCCUAACACAUGCAAGUCGAACGGCAGCACAGUAAGAGCUUGCUCUUACGGGUGGCGAGUGGCGGACGGGUGAGGAAUACAUCGGAAUCUACUUUUUCGUGGGGGAUAACGUAGGGAAACUUACGCUAAUACAGCAUACGACCUACGGGUGAAAGCAGGGGAUCUUCGGACCUUGCGCGAUUGAAUGAGCCGAUGUCGGAUUAGUUAGUUGGCGGGGUAAAGGCCCACCCAGGGGACGAUCCGUAGCUGGUCUGAGGGGAUGAUCGCCCACACUGGAGCGUGGACGCGGUCCAGGGUCCUGCGGUAGGGCGCAGUGGGCAAUAUGGGGCAAUAGGGGCAAACAUUACCCAGCCAUACCACGUGGGUGAAAGAGGCCUUGCGGUUGGGAAGCCGUUUUGUUGGUAAAGAAAAGCAGCAGGUUGAUACGCCGCUGUUCUGACGGCACCCAAAGAAGAAGCACCGGCUAACUUCGUG
rnacentral:rRNA from 1 species